rnacentral:rRNA from 1 species
CCCUUAGAUGUUCUGGGCCGCACGCGCGCUACACUGACGAAGUCAGCGAGCAUGUCCUACGCCGACAGGUGCGGAGAAUCUUGUCAAACUUCGUCGUGAUGGGGAUUGAUUAUUGAAAUUCUUGAUCAUCAACGAGGAAUUCCUAGUAAGCGCAAGUCAGCAGCUUGCGUUGAUUACGUCCCUGCCCUUUGUACACACCGCCCGUCGCUACUACCGAUUGAAUGGUUUAGUGAGAUCUUCGGAUUGGCGCCACUGCGGCUCAGCAAUGGGCUCGGUGGAUGCCGAAAAGUUGAUCAAACUUGAUCAUUUAGAGGAAGUAAAAGUCGUAACA